UACGAAGGGGACUAGCGUUGUUCGGAAUCACUGGGCGUAAAGCGCACGUAGGCGGAUAUGUCAGUCAGGGGUGAAAUCCCGGGGCUCAACCUCGGAACUGCCUUUGAUACAGCAUGUCUUGAGUCCGAUAGAGGUGGGUGGAAUUCCUAGUGUAGAGGUGAAAAUUCGUAGAUAUUAGGAAGAACACCGGUGGCGAAGGCGGCCCACUGGAUCGGUACUGACGCUGAGGUGCGAAAGCGUGGGGAGCAAACAGG
rnacentral:rRNA from 1 species